UUCACAUCUCAGACGGGGCGGUGGGGCAGAGGUGCUCCCCACAUCCCAGAUGAUGGGCGGCCGGGCAGAGACACUCCUCACUUCCUAGACGGGAUGACGGCUGGGAAGAGGCGCUCCUCACUUCCCGGAUUGGGCGGCCAGGCAGAGGGGCUCCUCACAUCCCAGACGAUGGGCAGCCAGGCAGAGAUGCUCCUCACUUCCUAGAGGGGUGGAGGCCGGGCAGAGGCUGCAAUCUCAGCACUUUGGGAGGCCAAGGCAGGCGGCUGGGAGGUGUAGGCAAUCCCAGGCACUCAGCAGGCUGAGGCAGGAGAAUCAGGCAGGGAGGCUGCAGUGAGCCGAGAUGGCGGCAGUACAGUCCAGCCUCCGCUCGGCAUCAGAGGGAGACUGUGCAAAGGGGAGACGAGGACCGUGCGAAGGGGAGGGGGAGGGGGAGAGGGAGAGGGACUAUUCUAUUUUUCAAAUGAAGGUACUAAAAUCUAUUUUUAGGAUUUUAGAGUUGGAAAAUAACUAAUCAUUGUAGGAAACUGAAGCCCAAAGGGUUUAAAUGAGUUGUCUGAGGGCAUAUAAACAGUAUGGUUCAUUGACUAUAUAUAUGUUUUUUAAGUACCUGUCUUACAUCCAGAAAUCAUAGUAUCUUUGUUAGCUUUGAAUGCAUAGUAGUGAGCAAUGCAAAAAUGUACCCUGUUCUCUUGGAAUUUACAAUCCAGUGGGGAGAUGGACAAUUAGUAAGUAAUGAGGUCUGAUAAAGAAGUUACAAACCCCGAAGUUCUAGGCAGGAAAUAAAUCUUGUGUUGGAAUGGAAAAUACUGGGGAAUGGAAAAAGAGCUGCUAUUUGCAUAAAGUGGUUCAGAAAGGCUGCUGAGACUUACAAGAUCAGAAGGAGCCAGCCACUUAAGUAGCAGGAGCAGGACAGCAUUCUAGGCUGGAACAGCCUGCACAGAUGUGCUGGAGUUAAGGUGCACGUAAAGCUGUAGAGAAACUCAAAGGAGAGUAUGGCCAGAACAUAGAAAGCUGUGGGGAGAGUAGUAUGAACCAUAAGACAGGGACCAGAUUACAUAGUGCCUUUUUCAACCAUAGAUUUCAAAAUUAUGGCAUUAGAUUCAAAUCUGAGUUCUGCCACUUAAACUGUGUUACCUUGUAUAGGUCACACACCCAUUUACACUUUAAUUUUCUUAUCUAUUAGAUGAGAAUAACAAGCUACUUCAUAGGACAUAGUAUCAUGGAGAUUAUAUAAUGCUUAUAGCAAACACUUAUGUAAUGUUUAUCUUGUGAUAAGAACUGUUCUAAGUAUACAAAAACUAUAUGAAGUAGGUAUCGCUAUUCCCAGUUUUGAAAUGAGGGACAGAGGGUUUGAGUAUAGCUAGUAAGAGGGUACAAGGGUUUAAACAUAGCUAGUAAGUGACCUUAACCUUAGGCAACCUUGCUCCAGGGUUUGUGAUCAAAAUGUGAUCCUCAGGAUCCUUUAAGGGGGUCCAUAGGGUCAAAACUAUUUUUCAUAUUAAUAUAAAGACAGUAUUUGCCAUCUUCACUGUCAUUCUGUCAUAAAUAUACAGUGAGGUUUUUCUGCAACAGAUUGAAUGCAGAAGCAAUUAUGAGGCUGGGCACAGUGGCUCACGCCUGUAAUCACAGCACUUUGGGAGGCUGAGGCAGGUGGAUCACUUGAGGUCAGGAGUCCGAGACCAGCCUGGCCAACAUGGUGAAACCCCAUCUGUACNNNNNNNNNNGUGCUGGGAUUACAGGCGUGAGCCACCGUACCCAGCCUAUUUCCUCACUUUUAAGACACAUUUUUUUUUCACAUUUUGAUAUUUUUAGAAAUUGAGGUGUGACUUGUCUGAAGAAACUUUUCAGCAACCAGCCAAGUAAAUUGUGAAGUAGUAGUAGUCAUCUAUACUUGGUAUUUCUAGAAUUUAGC
rnacentral:lncRNA from 1 species